AUGCGGUGAUCAUGUCCUCAGUCUGUUGGUUAUCAUUUGCCUCAUUCGUUGUUUUGGGGUGGUUUAUCUGUAGAUUUAUGUCUUGUGUCCUUUGGGCUUAUGGGUCUUCUGGUGGUGGGGUGUGUAUACCUUUUGUUCGGGGUAGUGUGGUUUGUGUCUUGAUUGUGAACUGUUGGGGUUUGUGGGUCUUUCCGGGCUUGUAGUAACGUGUUAGGGUUAGUUGUAUUUCCUUACAAUGAGGUAUUGUGGGGUGGUGAUCCGU